rnacentral:rRNA from 1 species
UAGGGAAUCUUCCACAAUGGACGAAAGUACUGAUGGAGNAGCGCCGCGUGAGUGAAGAAGGGUUUCGGCUCGUAAAGCUCUGUUGUUAAAGAAGAACAUAUCUGAGAGUAACUGUUCAGGUAUUGACGGUAUUUAACCAGAAAGCCACGGCUAACUACGUGCCAG